ensembl:lncRNA
UCAGGGGACAUGAGGCCAUUAACCUCCUGCAGCCAACGCCUUCUAUCCUUAAUGAGGGGCUGCUACUUUGACCCACUAUGUCGUUCAUAUUUCUCCUUUCCUCAGUCCAGCACUCUAAGGUGGAAUCGGAGCAGCGGAGAAGGCUUAAUUGCUCCCAGUGAGUGA